rnacentral:rRNA from 1 species
AGAAUCAACGCUGGCGGCGUGCCUAACACAUGCAAGUCGCACGGAGAAGGGGCUUCGGCGUCUGAGUAAAGUGGCGCACGGGUGAAUAACACGUGACUAAUCUACCCUCGAGUGGGGAAUAACUGAGAGAAAUCUUAGCUAAUACCGCAUAACACUUACGAGUCAAAGCAGCAAUGCGCUUGGGGAGGAGGUCGCGGCCGAUUAGCUAGUUGGCGGGGUAAUGGCCCACCAAGGCGAUGAUCGGUA